CCCUCUCUAGUAUAGUUGGCAAAACGUCUGGCUGUCAGGUAUCUCGCAGAUUACCAGGAAUCCCGGGUUCGACCCCUGGAGGAGGGA
rnacentral:tRNA from 1 species